UACGUAGGGUGCAAGCGUUGUCCGGAAUUAUUGGGCGUAAAGGGUGCGUAGGCGGUUGUGUAAGUCGGGUGUGAAAUUUCGGAGCCUAACUCCGAAACUGCAUUCGAAACUGCACAGCUCGAGGUCUGGAGAGGUGAUUGGAAUUCUAGGUGUAGCAGUGAAAUGCGUAGAUAUCUAGAGGAACACCAGAGGCGAAAGCGAAUCACUGGACAGAACCUGACGCUGAGGCACGAAAGCUAGGGGAGCAAACGGG
rnacentral:rRNA from 1 species